UUCUUGGUCAUUUAGAGGAAGUAAAAGUCGUAACAAGGUUUCCGUAGGUGAACCUGCGGAAGGAUCAUUAAAGAAAUUUAAUAAUUUUGAAAAUGGAUUUUUUUGUUUUGGCAAGAGCAUGAGAGCUUUUACUGGGCAAGAAGACAAGAGAUGGAGAGUCCAGCCGGGCCUGCGCUUAAGUGCGCGGUCUUGCUAGGCUCGUAAGUUUCUUUCUUGCUAUUCCAAACGGUGAGAGAUUUCUGUGCUUUUGUUAUAGGACAAUUAAAACCGUUUCAAUACAACACACUGUGGAGUUUUCAUAUCUUUGCAACUUUUUCUUUGGGCAUUCGAGCAAUCGGGGCCCAGAGGUAACAAACACAAACAAUUUUAUCUAUUCAUUAAAUUUUUGUCAAAAACAAGAUUUUCGUAACUGGAAAUUUUAAAAUAUUAAAAACUUUCAACAACGGAUCUCUUGGUUCUCGCAUCGAUGAAGAACGCAGCGAAAUGCGAUACGUAAUGUGAAUUGCAGAAUUCCGUGAAUCAUCGAAUCUUUGAACGCACAUUGCGCCCCUUGGUAUUCCAGGGGGCAUGCCUGUUUGAGCGUCAUUUCCUUCUCAAACAUUCUGUUUGGUAGUGAGUGAUACUCUUUGGAGUUAACUUGAAAUUGCUGGCCUUUUCAUUGGAUGUUUUUUUUCCAAAGAGAGGUUUCUCUGCGUGCUUGAGGUAUAAUGCAAGUACGGUCGUUUUAGGUUUUACCAACUGCGGCUAAUCUUUUUUUAUACUGAGCGUAUUGGAACGUUAUCGAUAAGAAGAGAGCGUCUAGGCGAACAAUGUUCUUAAAGUUUGACCUCAAAUCAGGUAGGAGUACCCGCUGAACUUAAGCAUAUCAAUAAGCGGAGGAA
rnacentral:rRNA from 1 species